rfam:Aedes aegypti strain Liverpool supercont1.1265 genomic scaffold, whole genome shotgun sequence.
CCUCUCAUGGCGUAGUGGUUAACGCGCCCCAACUAGAGAUCGGGGAGUCGUGAGUUCGAUUCUCACUGAGAAGA